rnacentral:rRNA from 1 species
GACUGUUUACCAAAAACAUAGUUUAUAGAAAAUUUUAUUGUAGAUGGGACUUGGUCAAUGGAAAAGAGAAUAACAGUUUUCUUUUUUAAAUUCACGCCUUACUCCGAGGAGGGUGAUAAAGUAGCAUAAUAAUUUGAUAUUUAAUUGGUGUCUGGAAUGAAUAGUGAAACGAUUGUAAAAUUGUCUCUAAAUUAAAAAAAAAAAUUAAAUUAAUAGUUAAGAUUCUAUUAAAAAAAGGAAAGACGAGAAGACCCUAUAAACCUUUACUAAAAUUUAUAUUUUUUAAGUAAAAAUUUUAUAAAUAGUUAGUUUAGCUGGGGCAGCUGUCAUUUAUAAAAAAAAUGAUUUUAUUUAUUUGUUUAUUUAAUAAAAUUAACAAUUAUUAUAAUAAAUUAGACCUUAUAAAUAAUAUUUUUUUUAUAAAUUAAAAGAUAAAAGGUACUUUAGGGAUAACAGCGUAAUUUAAAGAAAGAGAUGAAAUCAAAUUUUAAGUUUGCGACCUCGAUGUUGAAUUUAGAUUUCCUUCAGCUGUAGGGGGUUGAGAAGGUUAGAUUGUUCAUCUAUUAAAAUCUUACAUGAUUUGAGUUCAUUCCG